AAAGAUGCAGUGCCGAAUCCCGGUUUCCGGGUACGGGGGAACCAGUUUUUAGGGGUGAAGCCGCUAAGCGGCGGGCUGCCUUCAAGCCUAACCCGUCAGUUAACCUCGGAGGCGGAGAGGAGUUUUUAU
rfam:Anaeroglobus geminatus F0357 genomic scaffold Scfld51, whole genome shotgun sequence.